GGUUAAGUGACUAAGCGUACACGGUGGAUGCCUAGGCAGUCAGAGGCGAUGAAGGGCGUGCUAAUCUGCGAAAAGCGUCGGUAAGGUGAUAUGAACCGUUAUAACCGGCGAUACCCGAAUGGGGAAACCCAGUGUGUUUCGACACACUAUCAUGUCAUGAAUACAUAGUGGCAUGAGGCGAACCGGGGGAACUGAAACAUCUAAGUACCCCGAGGAAAAGAAAUCAACCGAGAUUCCCCCAGUAGCGGCGAGCGAACGGGGAGGAGCCCAGAACCUGAAUCGGCUUGUGUGUUAGUGGAAGCGUCUGGAAAGUCGCGCAGUAAAGGGUGAUAGCCCCGUACACUAAAAUGCACAGGUCGUGAGUUCGAUGAGUAGGGCGGGACACGUGACAUCCUGUCUGAAUAUGGGGGGACCAUCCUCCAAGGCUAAAUACUCCUGACUGACCGAUAGUGAACCAGUACCGUGAGGGAAAGGCGAAAAGAACCCCGGCGAGGGGAGUGAAAUAGAACCUGAAACCGUGUACGUACAAGCAGUGGGAGCACCUUCGUGGUGUGACUGCGUACCUUUUGUAUAAUGGGUCAGCGACUUAUAUUUUGUAGCAAGGUUAACCGUAUAGGGGAGCCGUAGGGAAACCGAGUCUUAACUGGGCGAAUAGUUGCAAGGUAUAGACCCGAAACCCGGUGAUCUAGCCAUGGGCAGGUUGAAGGUUGGGUAACACUAACUGGAGGACCGAACCGACUAAUGUUGAAAAAUUAGCGGAUGACUUGUGGCUGGGGGUGAAAGGCCAAUCAAACCGGGAGAUAGCUGGUUCUCCCCGAAAGCUAUUUAGGUAGCGCCUCGUGAACUCAUCUUCGGGGGUAGAGCACUGUUUCGGCUAGGGGGCCAUCCCGGCUUACCAAACCGAUGCAAACUCCGAAUACCGAAGAAUGUUAUCACGGGAGACACACGGCGGGUGCUAACGUCCGUCGUGAAGAGGGAAACAACCCAGACCGCCAGCUAAGGUCCCAAAGUCAUGGUUAAGUGGGAAACGAUGUGGGAAGGCAUAGACAGCCAGGAUGUUGGCUUAGAAGCAGCCAUCAUUUAAAGAAAGCGUAAUAGCUCACUGGUCGAGUCGGCCUGCGCGGAAGAUGUAACGGGGCUAAACCAUGCACCGAAGCUGCGGCAGCGACGCUUAGGCGUUGUUGGGUAGGGGAGCGUUCUGUAAGCCGUUGAAGGUGGCCUGUGAGGGUUGCUGGAGGUAUCAGAAGUGCGAAUGCUGACAUAAGUAACGAUAAAGCGGGUGAAAAGCCCGCUCGCCGGAAGACCAAGGGUUCCUGUCCAACGUUAAUCGGGGCAGGGUGAGUCGACCCCUAAGGCGAGGCUGAAAAGCGUAGUCGAUGGGAAACAGGUUAAUAUUCCUGUACUUGGUGUUACUGCGAAGGGGGGACGGAGAAGGCUAGGCUAGCCGGGCGACGGUUGUCCCGGUUUAAGCGUGUAGGGGGUGUGACCUGGUAAAUCCGGUUGCAUAU
rnacentral:rRNA from 1 species